AAACGGGUGAGUAACACGUGAGCAACCUGCCUAUCAGAGGGGGAUAACGAUUGGAAACGAUCGCUAAUACCGCAUGACAUAGCGGAACCGCAUGGUUCUGCUAUCAAAGAUUUUAUCGCUGAUAGAUGGGCUCGCGUCCGAUUAGAUAGUUGGUGGGGUAACGGCCUACCAAGUCGACGAUCGGUAGCCGGACUGAGAGGUCGAACGGCCACAUUGGGACUGAGACACGGCCCAGACUCCUACGGGAGGCAGCAGUGGGGGAUAUUGCACAAUGGGGGAAACCCUGAUGCAGCGACGCCGCGUGAGGGAAGACGGUCCUCUGGAUUGUAAACCUCUGUCUUCGGGGACGAAAGUAGACGGUACCCGAGGAGGAAGCCACGGCUAACUACGUGCCAGCAGCCGCGGUAAUACGUAGGUGGCAAGCGUUGUCCGGAAUUACUGGGUGUAAAGGGAGCGUAGGCGGGCAGGCAAGUCAGGCGUGAAAUAUAUCGGCUCAACCGGUAACGGCGCUUGAAACUGCAGGUCUUGAGUGAAGUAGAGGUUGGCGGAAUUCCUAGUGUAGCGGUGAAAUGCGUAGAUAUUAGGAGGAACACCAGUGGCGAAGGCGGCCAACUGGGCUUUUACUGACGCUGAGGCUCGAAAGUGUGGGGAGCAAACAGGAUUAGAUACCCUGGUAGUCCACACCGUAAACGAUGAUUACUAGGUGUGG
rnacentral:rRNA from 1 species